CGCGGGAUAGAGCAGUUGGCAGCUCGCCAGGCCCAUAACCUGGAGGUCGCUGGUUCGAAUCCAGCUCCCGCAA
rnacentral:tRNA from 1 species